GCUCCGGUGGCACAGCUGGAUAGCGCGGUCCCCUCCUAAGGGACAGGUCGCAGGUUCGACAAAAUUGCCGGGAGCA
rnacentral:tRNA from 1 species